AACGAACGCUGGCGGCAGGCUUAACACAUGCAAGUCGAACGCUGUAGCAAUACAGAGUGGCAGACGGGUGAGUAACGCGUGGGAACGUGCCUUUCGGUUCGGAAUAACUCAGGGAAACUUGAGCUAAUACCGGAUACGCCCUUCGGGGGAAAGAUUUAUUGCCGAAAGAUCGGCCCGCGUCCGAUUAGCUAGUUGGUGAGGUAACGGCUCACCAAGGCGACGAUCGGUAGCUGGUCUGAGAGGAUGAUCAGCCACACUGGGACUGAGACACGGCCCAGACUCCUACGGGAGGCAGCAGUGGGGAAUAUUGGACAAUGGGCGCAAGCCUGAUCCAGCCAUGCCGCGUGAGUGAUGAAGGCCCUAGGGUUGUAAAGCUCUUUCGCCAGGGACGAUAAUGACGGUACCUGGAUAAGAAGCCCCGGCUAACUUCGUGCCAGCAGCCGCAGUAAAAC
rnacentral:rRNA from 1 species